AGUUAAUGAGCUUGUAAAAGCAUAUAUUUUGAAAAUAUAAUAAAAGAAUAAAUAUCUUAUUAACUU
rnacentral:tRNA from 1 species